UUUGAUUUUCUCUCCCAAGCUCAUCCAUGGAUGUCCAUGAAGCAAGCUUCAUCAACCCAUGAUCAAGCCAUUUUUUUCCUAUAAGUUUCUUUAUUAAAAUUGUUCUACACAUCAUGGGCAACACAUAGAGAGGAAAAAGGGCAGCUUUUGAUGAAGUUUGAUCAAGCUCCAUAAAAGGUACUGAAGGUAAAACCAGUAGACUGUCGAUCGAGAUUUUUGGAGUCCAGAUCUGCAGAAGUGUCAGAAGAAUUGAAGGUUGUCACCUCCUCAGCAAUGCAUGUACAUAGGGCUCAUAUUUGCACAUGUUAUGUAUAUUGUUCAUUCCUAGCACAUUGUAAAUUAUUUGUAUAUCUUGUACAAAAUAAACUCAUGUAAUUAACCUAUGAAUUAUGGAAGCUACUCAAAGUAAGUAUUUUAAUAUGUGAAUUGAAUUUGAGUUAUAAUGGGAUUGUACUUGUGAAUAUUGAGAUGUUGAAAAUCUGAUGAGAUUUCUGAGAAAUCUGGAUACUGUAUUGAGAUACAUUAUGUUUGAA